UUUGAUUUUCAGAUACCUAGGAAAUCAAGGUGACAUUUGUAUUAUCAUGCUUUUUGUGUGUCAAGUAGGAAAAAAAUUGUCAGUUGGGAAAUAAUGCUGUUUUUUAUUCCUUAGCUUUUAGAGUUUAAAUAUAAUGACUUUAGUAAUAAUCCUACUAAUAACUAUAUGUGUCUUGGUAAGAUAUACUAUUUUUUCCACAGUAUUGACCAUUUAAUCAUUUGAAGGUGUUAUGUGAAGAGAAUAUGAUGACUCUGAGAAUGUUGCUGGCACUGAAGUUUUGAUGGGAUCCAAAGAGUGUUAACAGUUCCCUAAUGAUGAAAGUGGACCAAGGUUAUUUGUUGGUAUCUUGAUAGAACAGACUGUGUCCUUAAAUGUAUUUAUCACAUGGAUCUACUUAGGUUCCAGUUAAGACAUCACUGUGUACAUACAUGUUUAUUAAUGGAGCUUUCCAUGUAUCCCGGCAAGUGAUAAGGAAGGAUAGAUCACACCCUUGACUAACACUGAGAAACCAUGAAAUUAGAACUGUGACACUGGCACUUGUGUUCUCAAGUCUUUUGCUCUCCCAUCAAGCUCUUUCCAAGUGCAUGGAGAUGAGCUGUUGUUACAUUUCUCAUUAAAGAUCUUGUUUCCAGACAUCAAGGUAUAGACAUGCAAUAAGAUGUGCACCAAACACUGGGAUUUUUAGAUUUCUGUCAAGACCUUAUAGUAACCCUUUCAACUGUUGGUCAGCACAGCAUAUACGGUGGUAAGUCUCAUGAUGACCAACAGUGGCAUGUUGUAUCCAUGGCCAUGAUGAUCAACGGAUAU